rnacentral:rRNA from 1 species
UACGUAGGCAGCAAGCGUUGUUCGGAGUUACUGGGCGUAAAGGGUGUGUAGGCGGUUGCUUAAGUUUGGUGUGAAAUCUCCCGGCUCAACUGGGAGGGUGCGCCGAAUACUGAGUGACUCGAGUGCGGGAGAGGAAAGUGGAAUUCCUGGUGUAGCGGUGAAAUGCGUAGAUAUCAGGAGGAAUACCGGUGGUGUAGACGGCUCUCUGGACCGCAACUGACGCUGAGACACGAAAGCGUGGGUAGCAAACAGG